UUAAUGUCAGACAUAUAUGAGCAAGAAGCUGCCAACAUGUUCCCUGCCAGCACAUAGUCCUGAUGCUGGUUUCAUGGCAGAAUGAAAGAGCAUCUUGGUGG